rnacentral:rRNA from 1 species
UACAGAGGUCCCGAGCGUUGUUCGGAUUUAUUGGGCGUAAAGGGUGCGUAGGUGGUGCUGUAAGUCAGGUGUGAAAUCUCGGGGCUCAACCCCGAAACUGCACUUGAUACUGCAGUGCUCGAGGACUGGAGAGGAGAUUGGAAUUCAUGGUGUAGCAGUGAAAUGCGUAGAUAUCAUGAGGAAGACCAGUGGCGAAGGCGGAUCUCUGGACAGUUCCUGACACUGAGGCACGAAGGCCAGGGGAGCAAACGGG